AGUAGUUAUUUACUUAAAAACUAAAAGAUUUGGCGGUAAUUUAAUCUUUCCAGAGGAACUUGUUUUUUAAUCGAUAAUCCACGAAAUAUCUUGCUUACUUUAAUUUAUAUUAGUUUGUAUACCUUCAUUAACAGACAAUUUUUAAAGAAUAAAUUGUUAAAAUUGCUUUGCAAAAAAAUUAGAUCAUGGUGCAGCUUAUAAGUAAGUUUAAAUGAGUUACAAUAGAUUAUUCUAAACGGAGUUGUGAGGCAAGCUUUACAAUGAAGGUGGAUUUGGUUGUAUUGUGAAUUUAAUAAGUUUGCAAGACAUAGGCUCUAAAUUAUGU
rnacentral:rRNA from 1 species